CAUGCCGUAAACGAUGAGUGCUAAGUUUUCGGGGGUUUCCGCCCCUUAGUGCUGCAGCUAACGCAUUAAGCACUCCGCCUGGGGAGUACGACCGCAAGGUUGAAACUCAAAGGAAUUGACGGGGGCCCGCACAAGCGGUGGAGCAUGUGGUUUAAUUCGAAGCAACGCGAAGAACCUUACCAGGUCUUGACAUCCCGAUGAGCGCUCUAGAGAUAGAGUUUUCCCUUCGGGGACAUUGGUGACAGGUGG
rnacentral:rRNA from 1 species